UCUCAGUGAUGAGCAAAAAUGAUGACGAGUCUGAUCUUAUUCCAUUCUUUCUCCCGUGACGACAAAUCGAGGCAUUUGUCUGAGAGAA
rnacentral:snoRNA from 1 species